rnacentral:rRNA from 1 species
CAGUCGCCACGGGAACACGGAGGGUGCAAGCGUUAUCCGGAUUCACUGGGUUUAAAGGGUGCGUAGGCGGAUCUGUAAGUCAGUGGUGAAAUCUCCAGGCUUAACCUGGAAACUGCCGUUGAUACUAUAGGUCUUGAAUUUUGUGGAGGUUAGCGGAAUAUGUCAUGUAGCGGUGAAAUGCAUAGAUAUGACAUAGAACACCAAUUGCGAAGGCAGCUGGCUACACAACUAUUGACGCUGAGGCACGAAAGCGUGGGGAUCAAACAGGAUUAGAUACCCGGGUAGUCCCUGUCUCUUAUAA